GCUUCUUGGUGAUUCAUGAUAACUUUACGGAUCGCAUGGCCUUGCGCCGGCGACGGUUCAUUCAAAUUUCUGCCCUAUCAACUUUCGAUGGUAAGGUAUUGGCUUACCAUGGUUUCAACGGGUAACGGGGAAUUAGGGUUCGAUUCCGGAGAGGGAGCCUGAGAAACGGCUACCACAUCCAAGGAAGGCAGCAGGCGCGCAAAUUACCCAAUCCCGACACGGGGAGGUAGUGACAAUAAAUACUGAUACAGGGCUCUUUUGGGUCUUGUAAUUGGAAUGAGUACAAUUUAAACCUCUUAACGAGGAACAAUUGGAGGGCAAGUCUGGUGCCAGCAGCCGCGGUAAUUCCAGCUCCAAUAGCGUAUAUUAAAGUUGUUGCAGUUAAAAAGCUCGUAGUUGAACCUUGGGUCUGGCUGGCAGGUCCGCCUCACCGCGUGUACUUGUCCGGCCGGGCCUUCCUUCUGGAGAACCUCAUGCCCUUCACUGGGCGUGUUGGGGACCAGGACUUUUACUUUGAAAAAAUUAGAGUGUUCAAAGCAGGCCUUUGCUCGAAUACUUUAGCAUGGAAUAAUAGAAUAGGACGUGCGGUCCUAUUUUGUUGGUUUCUAGGACCGCCGUAAUGAUUAAUAGGGACAGUCGGGGGCAUCAAUAUUCAAUUGUCAGAGGUGAAAUUCUUGGAUUUAUUGAAGACUAACUACUGCGAAAGCAUUUGCCAAGGAUGUUUUCAUUAAUCAGUGAACGAAAGUUAGGGGAUCGAAGACAAUCCUAUACCGACGUAGUCUUAACCGUAAACUAUGCCUUCACCAUCGGGCGAUGUUCUUUUUCUCACUCGCUCGGCACCUUAAGAGAAAUCAAAGUUUUUUGAUUCCGCGGGGAGGGGGGCCC
rnacentral:rRNA from 1 species